AUUUGUGAAUGAUGAGAAAUUAAUAUUAUCACAAUUAUCCCUGUCAGAUUGCUGAUGCUGAUAAUUUUUUUCUCUGACACAACA